AAAAAAAAAAAAAAAAAAAGGCCUUUUAACUGGAGUUUCGAAGGCAAUGUAAGCUCACAAACAUUGUCGAAAGAAGUUAGUCACAGAGAGAUGAGGUAGAGCAUAAAUAAAAUAUAUAUAAAUGAUCUACGUGGGUAAUAGUGUUAAAAAUAUAGUAUCUAUUACAAAAUAUAAUAGAAAUCGAUCAAGAUUCAGAGGUUAGGUUUUUUAUUUUGGGGAAUGCUUCUUUAGUGAGCAUGUGGGUGAAUCUAAGUUUAAGGUUUUGGGUUCAAGUUUCGAAUUGGGUCUCGAGUUGUUCGACUUCUUGUUCUUUGUAUUAAAGAGGUUGGAAGGUAUCUUCCAUACAGAUUGGCUGUUAUUGGUGGAGAGUAAUGAGGACGUGGUGGAGACUGAUGAUUUUGUGAUUUGGGGAGAAUAGAGAGGCAAAAUGCCAAAAAAAAAAAAGGCCUUUUAAGUGGAAGUUAGAAGGCAAUGUAAGCUCACAAAAAUUGUCAAAGGAAGUUAAUCACAAAGAGAUGAGGUAGAACAUGAAUAAAAUAUAUCCAAUGAAAGCAAGGGAUUAUUUGAUCUAUUUUAAAAAAUUUGAGGGCUUAUUUGUCCAUUAAGGAUUUAUUUUAUCUAUUUUUAAAAUUUGAGAAACUUGUUUUAUUUUUAUUUUUUUAAUGAUAAGGUAGCUCAAAAUUUUAAUUGAUUUCGACCGAGCAAUUAAUAAUUCAUUUUGUUGUUGUCUGGUUGAAAUAUAUAAUUUUAGAUCACAAUUGGCUGCCAUCUCGUGCUUUUGAGCUGUUGCUUUGCUAUUAUUAUUUC
rnacentral:misc_RNA from 1 species